CACGUAGGGGGCAAGCGUUGUCCGGAUUUAUUGGGCGUAAAGAGCGUGUAGGCGGCCUGAAAGGUCAGCUGUGAAAACUCGAGGCUCAACCUCGAGACGUCGGUUGAAACCAUCUGGCUAGAGUCCGGAAGAGGAGUGUGGAAUUCCCGGUGUAGCGGUGAAAUGCGCAGAUAUCGGGAAGAACACCCGUGGCGAAGGCGGCACUCUGGGACGGUACUGACGCUGAGACGCGAAAGCGUGGGGAGCGAACAGG
rnacentral:rRNA from 1 species